AUGACCGCAUCGUUGAAGAAAACCGAGAGGAAGGCCGAGCCUCUCUCCAUUCAUUUUCAUACUCUGGUACUAACAUUGCUUGUAACUGCAGCUAUCUUAGAUUCAGUUACAGCCAAGGCGUCUCCAUAUGUCUCAACGAGAUCUGUGUUGGAUAAUGAAGUAGAGAAUGAGUCGCUUCGAGUUGGGGCACCUAGGAACUUCUACGACGAAUCAGGGCUUUAUGGGCCGAUUACGGCUAAGGCACCACAAACAUAUUUGGAUGAUUCGAAAGAAGCAGAGGAACCCACUUCGGAUCUUUAUGAAACGACUUCAGAGCCGACUGAAACAGAAGAACCGAUUUCAAAUCUCGAUGAAACAACUUCGGAGCCGACUGAAACAGAAGAACCGAUUUCAAAUCUCGAUGAAACAACUUCGGAGCCGACUGAAACAGAAGAACCGACUUCAGAUCUGGAUGAAACAACCUCGGAGCUGACUGAAAUAGACGAACCACUGGUAGUUUCGACACGUCCGUCCAGGUUGUUGGAUUUGGACGGCGAAUCCUCAAAAUCAGCAGACCCGAUUUCAGCCGCGGAAGAUCUUCUUUACGAUGACCCUUACAUGAGGCACGUUGCCGGCCCGCUGAAAGAUGAUGACUUAGAGUACAGUCUCGAUUUUUACGCCGAUAAAAUGGCGAUGAAAGAAUUUGACUUCAACCCUGUAGACAUUGCGAGAAAGCUAACAGCUGCUGCUAAAGCGCACGGCACUCAACCAGACCAAUUCCUCGGGGAGAUCCAAGACUUGAUAGCUUUGCAGAACCGGUCGAGCACGGAGGUGACUGGACCCUCCAACGAAAAAGAGGUCUCGCAACUCCACUCAGUGUUAAUGAGAUCGAGUUUACUACAGCGAGUUAUAGACGGCUGGAAGUACGCAUUGAAACGCCUUGAGGAGAAAUAUAACGUGAGCGCGGAGUCCGCAGGUCCUGAGUCAAUCACGGCCACACGGCUGGCUCUCAUGUUCCCGCAAUACGUCAAUUUUGGCCAAAAACCAUUCACGGAGCCCUCGUGGACCAACGUGUUGUCGGCGGAGUCAUUCGGUGAACAGCAGAGCCUUUCGGUUCCAGAAUUUUUCAAACGUCCGGAAUUCAGUGGCUUCAUCCCUCGAGAAUCGAACUCGAUUGGGCUGCAACAUGCUAGGCAAGCAAUCAUAGGCACACACUUGUAUGCUCUUCACAAAGACAAUCUCAAUGAUGGGGUCCCUCUUCGGACCAAAUGCGUGAUGUUAAAGCGACGGAUUGAUAAAAGUUUGCUGUCGAAGGAGCGCAGAAUUAGGUUUCUCAUAAAUAAUGACAUUGUCGACAUUAGAGGUUACGUGGUAGACUCGAUAGAGAGAACUUUCUGGAAUCUUCCGGAAAAUUUCACUCAGAAAAUCAUGUGGGAUCUUUUUGGAUAGAGCAAACCCAUGAACCCUAAAUUCUACCAGUUGAUACAUGUGCCCUUUACAUGUUUUGCAACACUCGUCUGCAGUUUUGACGAGCUAAAAUUGGAUUACCUUUUGCAAUAAGGAACCACUAUCUCUGGCUCUUCCAUAAAAGUACGUAUCUGCAUAGGAAAACCAAUGACAUAUAUGUUGUUUCUAAAAUGAUCCAGAAAUUGUGGUUCUUUAUUACAAAAUAUGGUCCAAUUAGUCCCUGCAUCUCACGGCAAUAAAAGAGAGAACAAGACGUUUCUCAGCGCUGCCGUGCGAGGGAAAAACGCCGCAUGAACAUUCGAGAGUUGCCAAAUUUCCUUCGAUAAAAAAUUUAUUUUGAGGAAAGCUAUGUACAUUUUUCCUUCAAAUUUUAAGGAACUCUAGGUAAAAUUGCGAGCAAAAUUAUAUGAAAAAUUGAAAGAAAAAUAUUUACAAAUUUGCCCGAGAAUUCAUGAUUUACCUAAGGAGAUUUGGCAACGCCUGAAGGUUCAUACGGUGUUUUUCCUUAGCACGGUAGAGCGGGUAAACGUCUUGCCAGUGAUUUGAGACAGCGCGAGCGCGGCUGGUGCUGCAAGUCGUAUCAUACUGUCAGCAAAAAAUUUGGGGGGGGGGGUUAAAAAAAUUAGCGCUCCUUCAAUUUCUCAAGUAUGCAACGUAGACGUCCGAGAGCAAGAAUAGUUGCAUCUGGGCGUUGCCAUCUACCGCAUCUCGCUUGCGCCGACAAAGACACCGAGGACAUUCAUCUUUUUUUGUCCGAUAAAAUUCGGAGGUAUGAACCACGAGUGACAUUAAAACUUUUAAAGUCUCUAUAGGAAUGAAAUAAAGUAACACUGACUUACUUAUAUACUGAGAAGAACCAAUUUCUUCAUUUAGAUUUUGUAUAAUUAAAAUAAUUAAUGCUCAUUGAUUUUAAGUUUAGGAUCUUCUGUUUGGGCGAACUUCGUGAAUCUUGGUUGAAUGGAGUUGCGAAUAAUUUCAUAUUAAUUAAAAAACAUCAGCGUUCACCAGACGUUUCACGAUCUGAGAAAUACAAUGAAUUACAUGACUGUACGCUGAUGCUGGUACAUAUGUGGGUUUCUCUCGCUUAGAUAUUAUCUAAUUAGGAUGAAUAGCAUUUGUAUUGCUUCUUUCACCAUUGAAGAGAGGCAUCUCAGUUAACAUCAGAAAUAGAAGAAUGACGACUGGAUUCAUCUCAUAAUUUUUUGUAAGUCUAUCAGACACCAUGAUCUAACACUUAUCCUGCGACUAAUUCUUCAAUUACAAUUCUGUAGCAUUAGUAACUGACCAAUUACUUGUAUCUUUCUUUUCUUCUUCAUUCUUUCUACUGCAACUAAUACUCAUGUGAUGCUUUUGAAAAAAGAGACUUAAGGUAAUUUUCAUAUAUUUGUUCAUUUCUUUAAUUAUUUUUACAAUAUUAUGAAUGACAUUGUAGUAUUACAAUGGAGGAGCAAAAA
rnacentral:lncRNA from 1 species